rnacentral:misc_RNA from 1 species
AAGGAUCAUUAAAGAGUUAGGGUCUUCUAGGCCCGACCUCCCAACCCUAUGUUUAUUGAACCUCUGUUGCUUCGGCGGACCCGCUUCACGGCCGCCGGAGGACCGCUGAAAGGCGUCCUCUGGCCAGCGUCCGCCGAUAGCCAACCACUUAAAACUCAAAAUGAAUCGUGUCAUAUGUCUAAGUCUAUGAUUAAAUUAAAGCAAAACUUUCAACAACGGAUCUCUUGGUUCUG